AUUGAACGCUGGCGGCAUGCCUUACACAUGCAAGUCGAACGGCAGCACGGGUGCUUGCACCUGGUGGCGAGUGGCGAACGGGUGAGUAAUACAUCGGAACAUGUCCUGUAGUGGGGGAUAGCCCGGCGAAAGCCGGAUUAAUACCGCAUACGAUCCACGGAUGAAAGCGGGGGACCUUCGGGCCUCGCGCUAUAGGGUUGGCCGAUGGCUGAUUAGCUAGUUGGUGGGGUAAAGGCCUACCAAGGCGACGAUCAGUAGCUGGUCUGAGAGGACGACCAGCCAAGUGGGGAAUGAGAAACGGCACAGAACCCUAGGGGGGGGAAAAGGGGGGAAUUUGGAAAAAGGGGGGAAAUCUGAAUCCAAAAAGGCCGGGAGGGAAAAGAAGGCCUUAGGGUGGGAAAGGACUUGGAGCAGGAAAAAAACCCUUGACUGUAAAACAGUCGGGGGGUGACGGAAACGAAAAAAAAAGAAACGGCUAACUACGU
rnacentral:rRNA from 1 species